UAUUUUCUUUACCAGGACGCGAGAUCCAGAUCUGAGCCUCGCCUGCCUUUAAAUAGGGCCUCCCGUGCCCACCCAGUCCUCACCUCACCAGAUCUGGAUCUCGCGAGCAGCAAGGCGUCCUCCAAGCUAGCAUCAGGAGGAACAUGUUGUCCAGUGGAUUAAAGCUCAAACCAGCUUUCAUAGAUCCUAGCAGUUUUGACGUAAUAGCAUGCCUGGUUUUGCUUUUCAUCAAAGGAUCUUGAGAGACCAAAAUCUGCAAUUUUUGGCACCAUGUUGUCAUCUAGCAGUAUAUUUGCAGGUUUUAGAUCUAAGUGAAGAAUAUGAAUCGCGUGAAGAUAAUGUAAACCCUCACAAAUUCCCUUGAUUAUUUCGUAGUGCUCUCUCCAUUCAGCUCGAUCCAUUUAGGAUUGAGCCUCUGACAACUGCAACGAAGUUGUCCAGCGCGCACAUCCAUGAGAAGUUCCACAGUGUCUGAACUGAUGAACAUGAAAAAAAAGUGUUGACACAGAUGCAAAGAUAAAUGCACAACAGAAAAUUUGUCAAAUCUGAUGAUUGUUGUGCUUUCAGUGUCUACCUAGAUGGAGUCUUCAUGCUCAUAUGAAAGAUGCAUGAAUCUGCAUGGAAGAAGUGCUAUUAAAUAAUCAGGGAAUUUGAGAGGCUUUACAUCAUCUUUGCAAGACUUUCAUCGUUCACUUAGAUCUCAGACCUACAAAUAUAUUCCUGGAUAACAAUAUCGUGCCAAACAUUGCCGAUUUUUGUCCCUCAAGUUGCUUGGAGGAAAAGCGAUACCAAGCUGUUGCUUCAAAACAGUUUGGAUCUAUGUGGUCUAUUGGGGUUGGCAUGGGUAGUUUUCAUUGGUUGUGCAGGUAAGCUCACUAAUGGCACAUGGCAUGCUGCACUAACCUCAUUUUGUUGCAGUCAGUGUACAUCUCCAUUUCCACCUUUGUUGCUCGGAGCUGGUAGAUGUGAUCAAGUGGCGUUGAUUGUCCAACAGAAAGUGGUUCCAGUAGGGGCAGCAAAAGUUCACCUAAGAGAUGUUGGGAAACUGCCCAUCCAUGGAUAGUGGCUGAACUCGAGGAAACUCAGGUGCAAGCUAAGAAGCAACACCAGGAUUCAGGGGAGACAAUCCAGGAAAGGAUUACCAAGGCGAAGAUUGACCCUUUGUGCAUACUCCAUGAAGUUACUCCUGUUACCUGAUAGGAUGAGUUAGUAUUGGUGUGGCUAGCUUUAGAGAAAGCAGCAUGUUGUAUUUGCUGGUACUACUUGUGGCCUUAUUUAUUGGUUUUCAAGGUCUCAGUCUUGAUUUUUAUUUCGGCCUUAGCCUCAAUUCUUAAGCCUAGAGCAAACUGGAAUUGUUGUGUUGGCCAUUGGAUUGAUGGAUGUAAGGACGUAUUGGUUAUUAUAAUCUACAGCUUAAAAGAAAAUUGCUUCACA